rnacentral:rRNA from 1 species
CAGCCGCCGCGGUAAUACGGAGGGUGCAAGCGUUAAUCGGAAUUACUGGGCGUAAAGCGCACGCAGGCGGUCUGUCAAGUCGGAUGUGAAAUCCCCGGGCUCAACCUGGGAACUGCAUUCGAAACUGGCAGGCUAGAGUCUUGUAGAGGGGGGUAGAAUUCCAGGUGUAGCGGUGAAAUGCGUAGAGAUCUGGAGGAAUACCUGUGGCGAAGGCGGCCCCCUGGACAAAGACUGACGCUCAGGUGCGAAAGCGUGGGGAGCAAACAGGAUUAGAGACCCGCGUAGUCCCUGUCUCUUAUAC